rfam:Deltaproteobacteria bacterium RBG_16_47_11 RBG_16_scaffold_3093, whole genome shotgun sequence.
CUUGGGAAAUGACCUAAAUAUUUCAAUCCCACCCUCGCCCUCCCCCACAGAGGGGGGAGGGUUGGGUGGGAAAAUAAAAAU